rfam:Schistosoma haematobium scaffold5_15, whole genome shotgun sequence.
AUCCAUCUGACGGAUCCAAAAUAGGACGAAACGAGCGUCUUGAAU